rnacentral:ncRNA from 1 species
GACUGGGGCAGUACACCUGUCAAAGCACAACACAGGUGUGCUAAGGCGAGCUCAGGGAGGCCAGAAGCCUCCUGUGAAGGGCAAAAGGUCUUAACUUUAAGCACUAAUACGGACUGUGAAAGUGUUGC